rnacentral:rRNA from 1 species
CCGGACCUGACUGCUAUCGGAUUGGUACUAAGCCAUGCGAGUCAUUGUAGCAAUACAAGGCGGACGGCUCAGUAACACGUAGUCAACCUAACCUAUGGACGUGGAUAACCUCGGGAAACUGAGAAUAAACCGCGAUAGAUCAUUAUGCCUGGAAUGGCUUAUGGUUCAAACAAUUUAUUGCCGUAGGAUGGGACUGCGGCCUAUCAGCUUGUUGGUGAGGUAAUGGCCCACCAAGGCUAUAACAGGUACGGGCUCUGAGAGGAGAAGCCCGGAGAUGGGUACUGAGACACGGACCCAGGCCCUAUGGGGCGCAGCAGGCGAGAAACCUUAGCAAUGUGCGAAAGCACGACUAGGUUAAUCCGAGUGAUUCCUGUUGAAGGAAUCUUUUGUCAGUCGUAAAACCACAGACGAAUAAGGGGUGGGCAAGUCUGGUGUCAGCCGCCGCGGUAAUACCAGCACCUCGAGUGGUCAGGAGGUUUAUUGGGCCUAAAGCAUCCGUAGCCGGCUUUGCAAGUCUCCGGUUAAAUCCAGCUGCUCAACAGAUGGGCUGCCGGAGAUACUACACAGCUAGGGAGCGGGAGAGGCAGACGGUAUUCUGUGGGUAGGGGUAAAAUCCAUUGAUCCAUAGAGGACCACCAGUGGCGAAGGCGGUCUGCCAGAACGCGUUCGACGGUGAGGGAUGAAAGCUGGGGGAGCAAACCGGAUUAGAUACCCGGGUAGUCCCAGCUGUAAACGAUGCAAACUCGGUGAUGCAUUGGCUUAUGGCCAUGCAGUGCGCAGGAAGCCGUUAAGUUUGCCGCCUGGGAAGUACGGACGCAAGUCUGAACUUAAAGGA